rnacentral:misc_RNA from 1 species
GAAGAAAAACGCGGAUAAGGAGAGAAGGUGAGGUGAGGUGAAGUGGGUUGUCAUUAUCCUUCCAAAGGAAUCUCCCUCACACACCUUUCUUUCUACUCCUCUUCUUUAUUUUACUCUCUUUCUUAUAAUUCCAAAAUCCAUUGACUCCGUCGACACCGCCGAACAUGUCCGGCCGUGCUUCCUUCACCUGACUUCUCCCCACGUGGCACUCCUAACUCAGUCCGAGGUCCGUGCAGGUCCUAAUUAUUUAAUGUCAAUUGUGUUUGUGUAAUGUAGUAAUUUUUUAUUUGCCGAAUUAAAAUGUCAAAUUGUUUAAUUUUAAAAUUGACCACGUAGGAAUUUAGUUAGUUGGGAAAUGAAAGACGGCCUGCUUGCUUGAUUAAGACCCUUACUAGUAUAUUUGUGAUUGUGGGGGUGCAUGGUUGGAGCUGUACAGAAAGAGACUGCUGCUAUUUCUUCACCUCCUUCCUUCGUUUGUUGCUGAUCUUUAUCUUUCUUCAUCUUCUUUCUUUCUUUUUGCCUUCCCUAGAUAGCUAAUUCCAUGAGAGAUGGGGAACUGUCAAGCCAUAGAUGCUGCAGCCUUGGUCAUACAGCAUCCCUGUGGCAAGAUAGAGAGGCUUUAUUGGCCAAUUUCAGCUAGUGAGAUCAUGAGAUUGAAUCCUGGUCACUAUGUUUCUUUGAUUAUUCCAUUGCCUCUAUCUGGGGAUCAAGAUAAAGAUAAUAGCCAUCAGAAGAAGACUACUGUUCAGUUCACUCGUGUCAAGCUUCUUAGGCCUACUGAUACUCUUGCACUUGGCCAUGCUUAUCGUCUUGUUACUACUCAAGAAGUUAUGAAGGUGUUGAGGGCAAAGAAGCAUGCGAAAAUGAGGAGGCAGCAGCAGCAGCAGCAGCGGCCGGAAUCAGUUGAGAAGCCUCAGAUGGCAUCAGAGAAGAAGAGUUUGGAUUGUGAAGCAGAAAACAGACCUGCUGACACUGAGAAGGAUAAGGAGAAAGAUCAUCAGGUAUAUAUACAUAUAUCUCUCACUAGACCUCUUAUCAUUCUAAGCUUUUUCUUUAUUUCUUUUUUCGAUCAAUUUCAUAUUUAUGUUAUUUCAAUAACUACCAUAUUAUUGGAACUGGUUUAAUUAUGUCUCAAACAAAUUGCUGCUUGAAGAACUAUUACUUUCUUUCUUCAAUUUCGUAAUCAAGCAGACAUCGGCUGGUGGCGUUGAAGGAACUCUAAGAUAAUAGAAAUAGCUUUGUCAACCAUACAAAGAUUAUCCUUUAAUAUGAAGAGGGUCCAUGAUCAUAGUAGAUGAUGAUGGAGAAUUUUCAACCAUAAGAAUAUUAUUAUUCAUUUUUAAGUAUUUUCAUUAUUAUUAAUGAGCCAUUGACCUUCUGAUAAAGUUGCAAAAACUUCAGGCGAUUAAAAGUGAAAGACGCCGACCAAGGGCGUCAUCAAUCACCUCCACUGCACUCAGGUCAAAGUCCUGGCGCCCCACAUUACAGAGCAUCUCUGAGGCUGCGAGCUGAGCUGACGGUGUUAGUCAUAUAUGGCACAUGAAAAAUGCAGGAGAUUGAUUGCUUCCAACAUUUCUGGAGGUUAGUCAUAUGUGGAAUACUCCUUGUACACAGCAAAAUAGAUUUAUUCAUCAAUCGAUCAAAGGAGAAGUGUUAUUAGAUGUCAAAAGCAUUGUCAAUCAAAGCUACCAGUUUUAAGCCGUUUUCAAGUAAUAAGAAAUCUGUAUAGCUACAAAAAUAGCAAUGGAUCUACCAUUGGGUAACAAGUAAUAUUUUCUAGCCUUCAUAUUCUGCAAGCUUAUGAUCGAUCAAGAAUAAGAAUAGCAUAACAU